GUCCCUUUCUCAUUCCCCACGCGCGCCGCCAUGGGCACCCGCCGGCGGCAUCCUCCCUGCCCGCCGCGCCAUACUGCCUCCCGCUCGACCCUGUUAGCCCGCCGCCUCGCACGCUCGAAACCUCAUCUCCUCCCAGACGGGGGAGACAGGGCGGGCGCCAUGACCAAGCAUUCCCCGGAGGCACUGGUGCUUAUCUCCCGUGGAGGCUUUCAGGGUCGGGUUCCCGGCGAGCGGCGUCAUCAGCUCCGGCACUAACCUCGAGUGCCCAGUUUCUUGCUCCUCCCUGCUAACAGACAGACUUCACUAGAGUAUCACCUGUGCAUCUUUCACCUUUUUUUUCUCUCAUCCUCGUAGUCCUAGAUGAGCAUGACAGAAGAAAAUGACGAGAUUGCUACCAAGACAAGGCUGCUGUCACUUGAACUGUUGGAGGGAUUUUUAGACGUGCGCCCGUGCUCAUGUGCCUCCAUGUGUGUCUCUCUAAUCAGAUCUAGGAGCUGCCUCCCUAUGCAGCAGGGGCCAAACUAUGUGCCACUGUAUGCAUAGUCAGAUCUCUAAUUAGAUGACCUGCCUCCACUGUUGUACGCAUGUUAAGCUCGGACAUUUAAUUCCAUCUGUCACGAGCCAUCCAAAGCAAAGAGAGGAUGAGAUGAACUCAACAAUUUCCAAAUUCGACCCUUAUUUGAUUAGGCAAGAUACCUCCAUGAUGAGUAUAUGUGUGCCAAUGAGCAGCUGGUGCAGAUGGUUCUAGCUUAACUCAUGAAUAUGAGAACAAUAUAUUGAGGCUGUGAAGAAGGCUGCCAUCGAGCCAAAAGGCAAGCACAGCAAGGAUUAAUGUGUGCCGUAGAGGUUAUCCAAAAGAACAAUGUCAUUUCGUUAAUUAAUUCCCUAUACAAUUUCACUUGCACAUGCAUCUUUCUGACAAAAUAAAAACUGCACUACUCUCUCUCCCUCUCUCUCUUACCUAAUCUAUCGAAAGUACUAAUUGUGAAUUUCAUCUCUAUUUUUCUCCAAAAACUUUGCAUAGUAUCCCUGGUAGGGCUAGGGUUCCUACCGGCUCUACUCCGUAGGUUAUACGGGCAGAAUAGCGGGGGUUGGGGGCGAGGGCGGCGGCUCCGGCGUGUUGGCGCCGUCGUGAGGGAGAAGAAGGCCGGCGGCGGCUAGGGUUUGGUGCGGCUAGGGUUCCGACUCCUCUGGAGCCGGGCAAUAUGAUAGAACUAUCUUUAUUGCUUAAUCUCAAACGAUAUCUUACAACUAGUAUUUAUAACUUUAGCCUAAGAUAACUUUCCUAAAAUAAUUUUCCUAAGAUAACUUGUGGGUCAAGCCCCUAAUACUAAGGCCCGGUGGGCCUCUUUCGGUUAUAGACCAAACCGGUCAUAACAUCUCUCCCCGCCUGCGCAAACAGCUCGUCCUCGAGCUGAAAAUCUGGAUAGUGUUGGCGGAAUUCUUCACGCUGCUCCCAAGUAGCCUCCUCCUACGGAAGGCCUGUCCACUGAACGAGAAUGAACGAGACGCCACGACGAAGUUGUGCCUGCAACACCUUUGCCGGCUCUGGAAGAAUGCGACCAUCGGCGAUGGGAGGAAGCGCCGGAGGAGCCGCCGGUGGCUCGCCACGGAAAGGCUUGAGCAGCCCCACAUGGAAGACGUCGUGGAUGCGAGCGCGGGCUGGAAGCUGAAGACGAGAGUCCACCUUCCCAAUGCGCUCCAAGAUAGGGAAGGGCCCGGCGUAGCGCGGGCCGAGCUUGCGCCUUGCUCGCGGGUCCAGUGACUGCGUAGAGCGGUGGAGAAGACGCAGCCACACCCAAUCACCCACCGCGAACUCCGCCUCGCGAUGAUGAUCGUCGUAGUAGUGCUUGGCCAACUGCUGGGCCUGAAGGAGACACUGACGAACCUCAGCAAGCACCUCGUCACGAGUGCGGAUGAGUUCACCCGCACCCUCCAUCCGAGCUGUCUCCGGAUCCACCGGAAGGAUAGGUGGGGGUGGUCGCCCAUAGACCACCUCAAAUGGCGUAGCGCGCAGGGCGGAGUGAUAAGAGAUGUUGUAGCAGUACUCCGCCCAAGAAAGCCAGUCCACCCAAGCGCGAGGCCGAUCACCUGUCACACAACGCAAAUACAUGGCAAUGACCUUGUUAACCACCUCGGACUGUCCGUCCGUCUGAGGAUGGAACGCCGUACUCAGUCGGAGCUGGACACCCGCCAUCCUGAAGAGGUCGCGCCAUACAUGGCCCGUGAAAACUGGGUCCCGAUCACUGACGAUCGAAGUAGGAAAUCCGUGUAGACGGACGAUGCAGUCGAAGAAGGCCCGGGCCACUGAUGCCGCCGUAUAUGGAUGGCCGAGCGCGAUGAAGUGGGUGUACUUGGAGAAGCGGUCGACCACCAUGAGGAUGACCGACUUGCCACCCACCUUGGGCAGGCCCUCAAUGAAGUCCAUGGAUAUAUCCGCCCAGACCUGAGAUGGCACCUCCAAGGGCUGGAGUAACCCGGCCGGCCUCAGUGUCUCUGUCUUGUUGCGCUGGCAUGUCUGACAAGACCGAACCCAGUCGCGGACCAGGGCGCGAUCGCCAGGGAUGUAGAAGUCGGCGCGAAGACGAUGGAGGGUUUUCUGCAUACCCUCAUGGCCCGCCGAAUGGGCGAGCUGUAACACCUGGUGACGGAGAUCAUCAUGCGCCGGAACAAAGACCCGACGCCCAUGUAGGAGCAGUCCGUCAGAGAAGCGCCAAGGCUCCUCCAGGUCGCCGGUCGUGAGCUGCUGCUGAAGACGGACGACGUCGUCGGCCGUCGUAGUGGCGCGGCGAAUGUCGACGAAGGGGCCGAAUGUCGGCCCAGAGCGUAUGCACAGGGCCACCCCGGCGGACUCGUCGGUGGAGGAAACAAAGUCGGAGUCACGACGGGACAGUGCGUCGGUCACUGUGUUAAGGAGGCCCGGUCGAUACUCGACGGAAAAGUCGAAGCCGAAGAGCUUGCUGAUCCACUGAUGCUGCGGCACGGUCGACAGCCGUUGAUCCAGCAAGAACUUUAGGCUGUAGUGGUCGGUGCGAAUGAGGAAGGACCGGCCCCACAAGUACGGCCGCCAAUGACGAACGGCCUGUACAAGACCAAUGAGCUCCCGCUCGUAUGCCGCCAGCUUAAGGUGAUGCGGAGCGAAAGGACGGGUGAAGAAGGCGAGGGGUCCAUCGCCCUGAUAAAGCACGGCGCCGAACCCUGCGCCUGAGGCAUCACAGUCCACCACGAACGGGCGGUUGAAGUCGGGCAUCUGGAGGACGGGGCCCGUCGUGAGGGCCCCCUUGAGGGCCUCGAAUGCCGUUGUCGCCUCGUUGUCCCAGGCGAAAGCGUCGCGGCGAAGCAACUGCGUGAGGGGCGUCGCGAUGAGCCCGAACUCCCGAAUAAAUUUCCGGUAGUAGCCACCGAGGCCGAGGAACCCGCGGAGAGCCCGCGGCGAGUGAGGCGUCGGCCAUGCGGAGACGGCUGCCACCUUAUCGGCGUCCAUAGCCACCCCGUCGGCGGAGAUGACGUGGCCCAAGUAGGCCACCGAAGGCAUCCCGAAUGAGCACUUCGAGCGCUAAAGGUGGAGGUGGUGCGCUCGAAGCUCGUUGAAGACGAUGGCGACGUGCUGGAGGUGCUCGGCCUAAGACGCGCUGUAGAUCAGAAUAUCAUCAAAGAAAACGAGCACAAACCAGCGUAAGUAGGGCCUGAGGACGUCGUUCAUUAGAGCCUGAAAGGUCGCCGGGGCAUUGGUGAGGCCAAAGGGCAUCACCAAGAACUCGAAGUGGCCGUGAUGAGUCCGAAACGCCGUCUUGGCGAUGUCAUCUGGGUGCAUGCACACCUGGUGGUACCCCGACCAAAGGUCGAGCUUGGUGAAGAAGCGCGCCCCGUGUAGCUCGUCGAGGAGCUCGUCGACCACCGGAAUAGGGAACUUAUCCGUAAGUGUGAUAGCAUUAAGGGCACGAUAGUCGAUGCAGAAACGCCAUGUGCCGUCUGACUUGCGGACGAGAAGCACCGGCGCAGUGAACGGCGAAGUGGAGAGCCGGAUGAUGUCGGCUACGAGCAUGAGCGCACACUGCCGCUCCAACUCAUCCUUCUGCAACUGCGGAUAGCGGUAAGGGCGGACCGCCACCGGCGCGGAGCCUGGCAGAAGAUGUAUACGGUGAUCAUACGUGCGGGCGGGCGGCAGCCCCUGUGGCUCGGUGAAGAUGUCAUCAUGCUGCUGUAGGAGGCUCUCCAAGAGUGGGUGCUCGGCCGUUGCGGUGGGCGCGGCCAGCUGGAGGGGUGGUGAGGGUGCGGCACCCCCAAUGCCGUCCCACCGAAUGCGGCGGCCCAAUCGCCAGAAGGUCAUUGUCAGCGCAUCGAAAUCCCAGAGAAUAGGACCAAGAGUGCGCAAGAAGUCAACGCCGAGGAUGAAGUCGAAGCAGCCCAAGUCGAUGCUGGCACAUGUGAUGGAGAAGUGCUCGCCGCCGAUAGUGAUGGGCACGUCACGGGCGAGCCCAUGGCAGUGGAGACGGUCGCCAUUAGCGACUGUGACUCACAACUGCUCGCCGCUGGUGGGCUGUAAUGCAAGGCGCCACAUGGUGGUCUCUGGCAGGAAGUUAUGAGUGGAUCCCAUGUCCACGAGGGCCACUAAGCGCUCGCCCUGGAUCAUGACCGGUAAGAGCAUCGUCCGUUCAUCACGGAUACCGGCCAGCGCGUGUAGGGACACCACGAGGGCGGUGGCCGGGGCGGGCAAGGGCGCCGCUGCGGUCUCCGCAAGGGCUGGGGCGCCGAGGCCAUCCUCCAGAGUCUCCUCGCCCGUCUCGUCUGACGUCUCCAAGUAGAAGAGGCGGGGACAGACAUGGCCCGGUGCAUAGGGCGCAUCACAGUUGAAGCACAAGCCCAGGCGCCGGUGUUCCAGCUGUUCCGCCUGAGUGAGACGCCUGAAUGGCCGCGUCGGAGCCGGGGUGGCCGCCGGGGCGGCCGUGGAUGGCGUCGGUGCUGCCGGAGAUGGCCGAAUAGGCUGUCGGCCCCCACGUGGCGCGGAUGGACGCGUCAAGGCCUGGGCGCGUUGUUCGAACGCUCGGGCAUAGUACAUGGCCGUCUGAAGGUCUUGGGGCCCCUUCAUCUCGACGUCCACGCGAAUGUGGUCGGGAAGGCCACCGAUGAAAAGCUCCGCCCGCUGUAAGGCCGUCACACCGGGCGCGUGGCACGCCAGGGCCUGGAAGCGGUCGGCGAAGUCUUGUACCGUGGAGGUGAAUGGCAGGCGGCCCAACUCGGCCAGGCGGCUCCCGCGGACCGGUGGCCCGAAAUGAAGAAGGCACAACUCCCGGAAACGAUCCCACGUGGGCAUGCCGCCCUCGUCCUGCUCGAGGCCGUAGUACCAUGUCUGGGCGGCCCCGCGGAGAUGGUAGGAAGCCAGCCAAGUGCGCUCCGACGCAGGCGUGCGCUGUCCGCGGAAGAACUGGUCACACUGGUUGAGCCAGUUAAGCGGGUCGUCGGAGCCGUCGUAUGUGGCGAAGUCGAUCUUGGCGAACCGGGGCGGCUGCUGGUGUGGCGCGCCUUGGCCCAGUACCUCGGCGGUGCGGAGGGCGGAUGAUGGUCCGCGGUCCAUGUGGGAAAGCCCGGCUUAGUUACCGGUGGCACCCGACGCCUCGGGCUGCAAGGGAAAACCGGACGGUGGACGAGCCUCCGGGUAGGCCGAGGACGGCCCGUGGAGCCAGCCGGGAAGUGGCGAGGGUGACGGCGGGAAGCGGACCUCUUGGAUCGGAAGCCCUCUCGGCGACGACCGGCCCAGGUUAGGGCUGGGCGGGGGCGGUGGAGGACCCUGCUCCAGGGCCGCUGGCAGGGAUGGCGCGGCGGAAGACGGCACAUCCGGCGCGGUCCAGGUGGGCCACUGCGGCCCCGUGGUGGCGGCGAGUGGUGCGGUUGGCGCAAGCUGCGGCGGCCAUGGUGGCCACAGCGGCGGCCACAGCGGCGGUGCGGCCGCCUGGGCUGGGAGCGCCGGGUAGCCUCCGGUGACGUCCCCCGGUACCGAGUACCACGGCAGCGCCUGCUGAGUUGCGGCCAUGGCUGGAUGGAGUGGUGGCGGCGGCCCGUAGGGACUCGCCAGGUAGAGACGGAUGCCUUGUACCGUGGCAACGAGGUCGGGGAGGACGCCGGCCAUUGCCUCCGUUGUGAGCUGCGUCUGCGGGGGAGGUGAUGGCGGCGGCGUUGGUUGGACGGGGGCUGGUAGCCGCCCGUGGCCCGGCGUGGUGCCGGGUGCCUGGAGGGGCGGCGCCGAGAGUGAUGCCGUGACGCCCGCCAGGAGCGAGGCCGUGGUGCCCGGCGUGGAGGCGGCGGCGGUGGAGGAGUUGGCGGCAGCGGCGGUGGUGGAGUAGACGGGUAGCGGCGGUGGUGGCGGCGGUGGAUGCGGAGGUGGAGAUGACAUGGUCGAAACCCGGGUACCUGAUACCAAACUGGUAGGGCUAGGGUUCCUACCGGCUCUACUCAGUAGGUUAUACGGGCAGAAUAGCGGGGGUUGGGGGCAAGGGCGGCGGCUCCGGCGUGUUGGCGCCGUCGCGAGGGAGAAGAAGGCCGGCGGCGGCUAGGGUUUUGUGCGGCUAGGGUUCCGGCUCCUCUGGAGCCGGGCAAUAUGAUAGAACUAUCUUUAUUGCUUAAUCUCAAAUGAUGUCUUACAACUAGUAUUUAUAACUUUAGCCUAAGAUAACUUUCCUAAAAUAAUUUGCCUAAGAUAACUUGUGGGUCAAGCCCCUAAUACUAAGGCCCGGUGGGCCUCUUUCGGUUAUAGACCAAACCGGUCAUAACAAUCCUAUCCACUGAAGUUUAUUACCAUGUGAUCAGAGAAAUUAAGAGGUAUAUGUGCAUAUUGUAAGAACAUGAUUAGUGGCACAUAUUGCACAAUUGAUUCUAUGUUGUAUCACCUAGUGUACAGCUUCCUUGACUUUAUUUUGUUCUCAGCCUAUGGCAUGUUAUUCUUCCAUUUACCCCUGUCUAUUUAUAGUUUGCAUUCCUAGUGAAAAGACCAAAUCAUUUACUUAGUUGCUUGUGGUCUGUUGUGGGUGGGUGAUGUUCACAUUCUAAAUUAGCAAUUAGUUGCUAGUGGGUGUUGUCCUUGCUGAAUGCUGACUUUAUGGAUUACAACUAGGACAAUGCACGUGCAUUGCCACGGGGCAAUAAAGACAAAGACACUGAUCAAUAUUAUGUGCCAUCUCCUUCUUCUUAGUAUAUCAUCAUCGCUCUUUAUUUUGUCCUAAAGCUGUAGAGAAAAACAAAACCUACAUGUGUUGAUAACCCCUCAAAUGUUCUUGUCCUUGCAAUUUGUAGAACACACCAAUUAUCGGAUUAGAAGAACCGUGCAACUAAUGAGCCAUGGCAAAUUGAUUUGGAGAACAGGGAUCAGGCGAACAUGGACCAAGUUGUAGUGUUCUACCUUUCCUAUGGUCCUCUUUGGUUGGUAGCAGUGAUGGUUCUCCCCAAGUCCUUAGUCACUUGCAAGCUGCUGCAAAAUGAAUUUUGUAUCAACAGGUGCAUUUUUUUGUCUUUUCUGAAUUUACAGGCUAAGUAAACAUUUGCAGGCUGUUUCUAUUUGCAACAAUGGUUCCUAUUGCCUAAUGAAAGCUACAAGAAGGGCCUUGUCCACUCAGAACAAUCAUAUUGAAGGUCAAAUUGAGCUUGCAACUAAUAAUAUGUUGUGUGCUGAUGUUUGCAAUGGUAUUUGGUUUCUGUACUCUGCAAGCCUCACGAUGCUAAUUGAAGUAUCCUUUAUCAUGUUGCAGAUGCUUAGCAAAUGCUUUCACUGCUACCUGUUGUUAAUCACCUGCUUUCUUACUCCUUUCAUUUAUGUAGGAAAGGCCUAAGAGAGUUAUCCCCCAUGGGAACGGAGACCAGGAUACAUUGUCUCAGGAUAUAUGCAGCAGAAAAAGUUUUUUAGAAAAACACAAAAAGGGAGCCACCUAGACGCUGCAUCCUUGCAACUCGUCAGUUGCUUUGAUGUUCAAGCUGGAGGAUGUUAUCCAAUGAGAUGAAGAUUGAAGGCUUUGAUGUAUUGUACGAGAAUGAAACAAGCAUAUUGGUGGAAGGCUGUGAGGAUGGAUAUCCUGUGAGGAUAGAUAUGUAGUUGCUCACUACAAGGAGCCAAGGCAGAUGAUGUGCCUCUGAGAUAAAUUCCAAAAAACAGAGUAAGAAAUUUUUGCUCCAAAAGUGAAUCAUAAUGUUUCCUCUAUUUAAUUAGUUACAUUAGCUUAUAGGAAACUUGAUUGAUAUUCUGUUGGUAACGUGAAAUCUGGAUAUGGGAGGGAUAACAGAUGAUGAUCCGUAAAACAAAUCCUAUCAGGCAGUUAGUUGGGAAAGGAUAAUGCCCUGUCAAAUCUGGAUAUUGGAGGGAUAACAGAAUGUUUGUUGGGAAAGAGUACCCUGUCAGAUAGUUGGUCGGGGAAGCCCAUGUCAGCCCCAAUAGAUUGUUGGUCGGGAAAAUUUACCAUGUCUGAUUGUCGGUCCGGAAAGGCCCGUAGCAACCGCAACGGACUAUCUGUCGGGAAAGGCCCAUGACUGGCCCAACAGAAUGUUGGUCGGGAAAG